AUGAAACCCAGACCGAUGACAACGUGGCUGACCCUGAAGAUGGUGCUUCCUACGCCUCCAUCAGCUACACCAGGAAGAGCAGCAGGAAAGCCAGGGCUCAUGAUGAUGAUGAUGAAGAUGGUGAAGUGACCUACAGCACUGUGAGAGCUCCCUCCUCUUCCUCUGCUGCCUCCGCUGAUCCCAGCCUCCUCUACGCCACCGUCGACAAACCCAAAAAAUAGUUUAAUGCUGUAUUUUAAACUAUGGCACAAUUGUUAUAACCAUAUUACAAAGUCAAAGCGAGCAGAGUUACAAUAAGAUUUAUAUUGACCAGGUUUUUGCUUUGUUUGGCUUAAUAGCAUCAAAGUGAGAGUACAGCAGAACAUGUGAGUCUCUCUAGAGGUGGAUCGUGAGACAGGGGCAGACAUGUUGGAGAUGUACUGUAUUCUUAAUACUUACAGUGUGGGCAUAAUGAAGGUUUUGUAAAGUGGAUUCUGGCUUUUUUAUUACUGUAUUUUCUUUAAUAUAAUUCAAUGGAGUAUUGCUUUUUCUUCAGUACAUUUGACUGUUUUGUACUUUACUAAAUAAAGUGAU